GACGAACGCUGGCGGCGUGCUUAACACAUGCAAGUCGAACGGUAAGGCCCUUCGGGGUACACGAGUGGCGAACGGGUGAGUAACACGUGGGUGAUCUGCCCUGCACUUCGGGAUAAGCCUGGGAAACUGGGUCUAAUACCGGAUAGGACCAUGGACUUCACGGUUUGUGGUGGAAAGCUUUUGCGGUGUGGGAUGGGCCCGCGGCCUAUCAGCUUGUUGGUGGGGUAAUGGCCUACCAAGGCGACGACGGGUAGCCGGCCUGAGAGGGUGUCCGGCCACACUGGGACUGAGAUACGGCCCAGACUCCUACGGGAGGCAGCAGUGGGGAAUAUUGCACAAUGGGCGCAAGCCUGAUGCAGCGACGCCGCGUGAGGGAUGACGGCCUUCGGGUUGGUAAACCUCUUUCAAUAGGACGAGGCGCAAGUGACGGUACCUAUAGAAGAAGCACCGGCCAACUACGUAGCCAGCAG
rnacentral:rRNA from 1 species